rnacentral:rRNA from 2 species
GAGCUUGCUCUCUUUGUCGGCAAGCGGCAAACGGGUGAGUAAUAUCUGGGGAUCUGCCCAAAAGAGGGGGAUAACUACUAGAAAUGGUAGCUAAUACCGCAUAAAGUUGAAAAACCAAAGUGGGGGACCUUUAUAAGGCCUCAUGCUUUUGGAUGAACCCAGACGAGAUUAGCUUGUUGGUAAGGUAAAGGCUUACCAAGGCAACGAUCUCUAGCUGGUCUGAGAGGAUAACCAGCCACACUGGAACUGAGACACGGUCCAGACUCCUACGGGAGGCAGCAGUGGGGAAUAUUGCACAAUGGGCGAAAGCCUGAUGCAGCUAUGCCGCGUGUAUGAAGAAGGCCUUAGGGUUGUAAAGUACUUUCAGCAGGGAGGAAAAAGAUAAUACUAAUAAUAUUAUUUCGUGACGUU